GGGAAAUCCAAGGGUGGUCAUCUUGUUGAAGGUAAGAUGAACUUUUCAUUGUGGUAACGUUAUGUUUUCACCAAAGUAACCACAAGAAAGCAUGUAAGAAACCAAAUCCUGCAUUCUGAUAACUUCAUCCAUAUUCAGUUUCAAACAGAUUUUCUAAUGCUGCACCUCACCUUCACUGUUUUUAAGUCGAGUAUUUUCUGCAUUUGUAUGUGUGUCUCUCUCCUUUUCCCCAACCAUCACAGAAGUGAGCAUCUUCAGUGUUGAAGCUGGCAACCACCAAUGUCUUCAGGAAGGAUCUAGAUCACCUCUAAAGAGACGAAGUCAGACAUCCUUGUGCUGCAGGUAAGAUGAGACAGGGAACACCACACUGUCCUAUUGUCACCCAAAAGUCUGAAUGCUUCAACUCCAGAAACAACUUUUCUCUGAUCAUUAAUCGUUUUCACAAAGGCGCAAGGUAACAUGGGUGUGCUUCAGCUGUUUUCCCAAAGUUAAGGCCCACCUAAGCUCGAUCUAUGCCUGUUUUUAUGUUGAUAACAUGUAAGGCUGGGUCGGUGUUUCCAAAGAUGCAACAACACAAGCUUCAACGAUCAAAAACACAACAAUCAAACCAAAAACAAGGUUUAAAAAGUGUUUUCAGCCACACAACCACAAACCAACAAAGUUCACAACGAUGCUUUCAAAGACAAUAUGGAAACGAACAACAUGGUUCAUGAGGUUCUUUCAGGGACAUGAUGGUAACACAAACAAGGUUUAAAUUGUGCUUUCAGUGACCCAACAACAAGGUUUAAAUGGUGCUUUCAAUGACAAAAGGGCAAAUCAACAAGGUUUAAGUGGUGCCCACAGGGACACAAUGGUAAUACAAGGUUUAAAUGGUGCUUUCAAUGACACAAGGGAAAACCAAAAGCUAACUCAAAAGCUUAACGACAACAGUCAAAAAAUCAAGAAAUGCUGAAAACACUAAAUAAAAACCAAACCAAAAAAAGAAAAUUCACAACCAACCAGAGAAUGGUUCAGCAUCACUCAAGGUUAAAAAGGGUUUUAUGACUCUAAAAAGGUUAUUUCUGUUUUCAUGAAACUUGGUUGACACAAAAAACUGCAAAAAUGUCAGUUGCAAGUUUUACCAAAUACUUGCUGAGCCCAUCAGUAAAAAAAAACAAACAAAAUCCAAAACGCAAAAAGCAAAACAACAACUCUUAAGGAAACAACAAAUCAGCAAAGUUCACUCAGUUCUCCAAAAGGAAACCAACUCAACAAGGACAACCUCAACUUCAACUUCAGGCCUCACCCACAUCUCCUCUACAGCUUCAACUAACAUGAGGGGGACAAUGAACUGUUACCAUAAAAUGUCUGUUUUUUUUUUUUUUUAGGGUUUUUUUUUUUGUUUGUUUCUCUCUUUUUGACCCUCCAGUCUGUAAAAAUCUAAGAUGUUUGUUUUAUUUAUUUUUUUGUUGUUGUUUUGUUUCUUUUUGACCCUCCAGUCUCUGUGAAAAUCUGAGAUCUGUACUUGUCAUGGUUUUUUGUGUCCUGUUAUUCUGUACGAGGUUUUUAUGCCUCCCUUUGGCUGCACAUGUAUGUCUCUGCUUUUCCCCUAAACAUGACGGAGGUGUCGAGCCGUGGCGUUGGAUGUGCUGACCACCACCAGGUCCUGGGAGGAUCUGAUGCUGCCCCACUUCGAUGAGCUGCUCCUCCAUCCAGACUGGGAAGUUUUUAAGAGUCACCGUCAAGCUGAAGGUUUCUGAAGUUCUCUUUUAAUGAUUUUGAGAAACUUUUCAAAGUUCUUGUAGUUGUUUUCACCGAGGUCCAAACACUCCAGCUUUUCUGGGGGUUUGUAGACGCCUAAGAGAAAAUUGAUUUUAAAUCUGUCUGUUGAAUCUUUUAAGUCUGUUUCCAAUGUAGUGACCCAUCUUUCUGCUUCUCCAAAAUCUAUCUUGUGUUGUUACAGUCUACAUCCAAGAAGACCCUGGCAGACCCCAUCACCUGCUGGACUCUGAGCUCCUGCAUACUGGGUUACAGGUGAGCAUGGAGUACAGAUUCCACCACCUACAAAAAAAAACUGGUACAGCAGUUUUAUUUGAUGCAUCCAGAUUUCCUAACCCCUGCCAAUUUUAAUCUCUCCCAAACACCAGUGCUUUGCCCUCUUUGAGGGACGGAUCUUCUUCAUUCUGGACCCCUUUAACUGAAGUCUGCACCAGCACAGAAACCUGCCUCUGGACACCAUCAGACUCUACCAGAUGCCGUGGGCACCAUCCCAGAGAAACCGGUACAUAAAACAGAGAAUGAUUCACUUAUAGGUUAAAAACUGUGCCGGUCUAAAGAAUAAAUUUGUCCUUUUGUUUUAGGACUACACCGAGACGUCGAUGACCCUCUCUUGCUCCAGGAACCGGCUGAAGAAUGAAGACAAAGACUUGGUCCCCUGUUUAGAGGUAAGUCAAUCUUUGCAAGUGGUCUUGCUUAUUUCAGUCAAAGUUUUAUGGUGAUAAAUUGAUGUUAACAGUCCACUAACUGGAUCUGAUCCCUGUCUGCCUUCUGUAGUCACCACCCUGCAGGCGGACUUCCUGUCUCACUGUGAGCCCGUAGACCUUCAACCUCGUCCAGAAAACCCUUACUCAGGACAUGGUGAGUGCGCCUUUCUCUUUCAGGCUCUACUUUGAGGAGCACACAUGGGCAGCUUUCUUAAAUCCUUCUAACAGAUGAGUCCGUUAAGAUGAUGAUAGUUGGAUGUUUUUACUCGAUGGGCAUAGAUAAACCCCCACAACCCAUGAAGAGUGCAAGCUUUGCUGUGUCACUGUCACUUUAUAGAUCUCCUCCACCUUUAUAUCGCUGACAUUAUCAGUAUUAUUGACAUUAUAGGAUUAUCACUGAGACCUUUUCUGACUGAUAGAAAACUAAAUGAAAACGAGGCAGAAUAUUCACUCAUGACAGUUUUCUUCAUUUACAGGAGGAUACUCGAGUCUCGACUGAGGACCCAGUGAUGAAGAUGGAUGACCUGUCUGUGACACAAGGGUCAUAGAGGAUAGUUCUGUACUGAUGAAUCUAUUAUAAAUUAUUCAUCUGUUUGACCAGAUGAUGUGUUGUUAAACUUGCUAACAUUUGAGUUUCUUUGGUGCAAACCUGUAAGAUCUACAGCUAGUAGAGUCUUCUUACAAUUGUAACCAGGUGGUUUUUGUGUUGUACUGAAUUUGCUUUCUCAUUAUAUUUGUAAAACUAAAUGUUUAAUCUGAGCUUCAUUUAUGGCUUAAACUUUGUUAAAUGGAGGCUGAAACUGUGACAGCAUGUAGAGAGCUUUUUAUCCACUGGGGUUUUUUUUCCUUCAAUAUUUUUCCCCAGCUGGUUUUUCAUCUCUACCUCCACCAAACUCACUCUGUACACAAAGCUUGUCUUAAAUGUCAUCUUUUUGGAUGCACAUAUUCUAUUUUGCUCAUAUUGCUUUGUCUUUAUUUUGUUCAUUUUUCUGUCAUGCUUUAUUCCUCUCUCUGCUCCGUGUUUUUUUGCAUUUGUAUUACACAUAUAACUAACUUUUCACAUAAUUUGUCUGAGUCAAUAACUCUCUGACAGUGAAAUACCGUGAUUGUGUUUGGUAAAACUUGUCAACUUGACUCUGUUUUUAAAUAAAGUUUUGUUUAAAUGGAAUCAAAAACUUUUCUCUGGAGGUCAGUUUUUUAUUUUGAUAACAUGCACAGUAGGUUAGAAAGUUUUAAAAUCAGAC